UACGUAGGGUGCGAGCGUUAUUCGGAAUUACUGGGCGUAAAGCGUGCGCAGGCGGUUUUGUAAGUCAGAUGUGAAAUCCCCGGGCUUAACCUGGGAACUGCGUUUGAAACUACAAGGCUAGAGUGUGGCAGAGGGGGGUGGAAUUCCACGUGUAGCAGUGAAAUGCGUAGAGAUGUGGAGGAACACCGAUGGCGAAGGCAGCCCCCUGGGUUAACACUGACGCUCAGGCACGAAAGCGUGGGGAGCAAACAGG
rnacentral:rRNA from 1 species